CUGGAGCAGCGUGGGCCCGGGUGAUGAAUAAAUAAAUGCCCAGCAUUGUGGCAGCUCCAGCCUCCGACGCCCAGGCUGGUUCUCCCGUCGUCGUAAUGGAUCGGACGCUCGCCAAGAAAUCCGCGGGAGGGAGACAGCAUUCAUAAGACAUGAGCCUGCGACUCAUUCGGUAGCUGCUGUUGUGAAAGGAAGGCGCGAGGAGAAGAGAAAUGUAGCGACAGAUACGGCAACACCGACAUGACACGCGGUGGGAUGUGGCCACGUGGGUCGAUUUCCUUUUCACGCUCCACUGACCAUCGGAGACGCCGGGACACAGCGGGCGCGGGGGUUCGAAUAACCUCACGCCAGAGAGAUUGCUCUUGACCAGAUGCCUUCUGGGUUCCAAUCCGGCGGUUAUUGUCCUUCUGGACGGGGUUCCAGGUCGUCAGGUGCGUCCGGACAAGGGUCGUGACUCGCCUCUGCAGGGGAAUAAAACCGCCAUUCGUGGAGCCUCGUGUGUACCAGGCCCAGCUGUGCAGACAGCAUCCCGCUGUCCCCACAGGCAAAGGCAGCCUCCCCCUGCGGGGACCCUUGCCCCGAGCUGCCUCCUUCCUGCCACCUCGGGUGGUGCAAAGAGCACGCGCUGGGCUUGAACCUUGAACCUGGAGCGGCCCCUUCCCGGCGGGCGGAGCUGGGAAAAGGAACUCAACGUCUCUUUCUGGGAAAACAGGGGUGAUCACUGUGCCCGCUCCCUUCACAGGGGUGCAUGAGGAGGAAAGGGAGGAUGCACGCUCAGCUACGUGCACCUGGCAGGCUUCUCCUGUCCCAGGGUUCCCCCCUCGAGCCUAGGCGCUCAUUCGCUUUAACCAACAUCUCGCCGGCUGCGGCCCCUUUAAGACGGCCUUGGAGGACCCAGUUUCAAAGCCGCGGGGGACCCUCUAGCUGCCACCUCGAUGGUAAGUCGUCACUUCCGGCCGGAAGUGCGCGUGUUCCCGGGUUUCGGCGCGAGGGUGGGAGUAUGUGGAGGCGCGUGCUCGCUCGUCUCCGAGGGUUGGGUCCCGCU